CGUAGGGUGCGAGCGUUGUCCGGAAUUAUUGGGCGUAAAGGGCUCGUAGGCGGUCUGUUACGUCGGGAGUGAAAACCUCGGGGCUCAACCCCGAGCCUGCUUCCGAUACGGGCAGACUAGAGGUAUGCAGGGGAGAACGGAAUUCCUGGUGUAGCGGUGAAAUGCGCAGAUAUCAGGAGGAACACCGGUGGCGAAGGCGGUUCUCUGGGCAUUACCUGACGCUGAGGAGCGAAAGUGUGGGGAGCGAACAGGAUUAGAUACCCUGGUAGUCCACACCGUAAACGUUGGGCGCUAGGUGUGGGACUCAUUCCACGAGUUCCGUGCCGCAGCUAACGCAUUAAGCGCCCCGCCUGGGGGAGUACGGCCGCAAGGCUA
rnacentral:rRNA from 1 species